rnacentral:rRNA from 1 species
UGCCAGCAGCCGCGGUAAUACGUAGGGAGCGAGCGUUGUCCGGAAUUACUGGGUGUAAAGGGAGCGUAGGCGGGAAGACAAGUUGGAUGUGAAAACUAUCGGCUCAACCGAUAGACUGCAUUCAAAACUGUUUUUCUUGAGUGAAGUAGAGGCAGGCGGAAUUCCUAGUGUAGCGGUGAAAUGCAUAGAUAUUAGGAGGAACACCAGUGGCGAAGGCGGCCUGCUGGGCUUUUACUGACGCUGAGGCUCGAAAGUGUGGGUAGCAAACAGGAUUAGAUA